GACUCUUGGCAAUGGAUAUCUCGGCUCUCACAUCGAUGAAGAACGUAGAGAAAUGCGAUACUUGGUGUGAAUUGCAGAAUCCCGCGAACCAUCGAGUCUUUGAACGCAAGUUGCACCCGAGGCCACUCUGCCGAGGGCACGCCUGCCUGGGCGUCA
rnacentral:rRNA from 2 species